GAUGAACGCUGGCGGCGUGCCUAAUACAUGCAAGUCGAGCGAACAGACGAGGAUCUUGCUCCUCUGACGUUAGCGGCAGACGGGUGAGUAACACGUGGAUAACCUACCUAUAAGACUGGGAUAACUUCGGGACACCGGAGCUAAUACCGGAUAAUAUAUUGAACCGCAUGGUUCAAUAGUGAAAGACGGUUUUGCUGUCACUUAUAGAUGGAUCCGCGCCGCAUUAGCUAGUUGGUAAGGUAACGGCUUACCAAGGCAACGAUGCGUAGCCGACCUGAGAGGGUGAUCGGCCACACUGGAACUGAGACACGGUCCAGACUCCUACGGGAGGCAGCAGUAGGGAAUCUUCCGCAAUGGGCGAAAGCCUGACGGAGCAACGCCGCGUGAGUGAUGAAGGUCUUCGGAUCGUAAAACUCUGUUAUUAGGGAAGAACAAAUGUGUAAGUAACUAUGCACGUCUUGACGGUACCUAAUCAGAAAGCCACGGCUAACUACGUG
rnacentral:rRNA from 1 species